GAUGAACGCUGGCGGCGUGCCUAAUACAUGCAAGUCGAGCGAACAGACGAGGAGCUUGCUCCUCUGACGUUAGCGGCGGACGGGUGAGUAACACGUGGAUAACCUACCUAUAAGACUGGGAUAACUUCGGGAAACCGGAGCUAAUACCGGAUAAUAUAUUGAACCGCAUGGUUCAAUAGUGAAAGACGGUUUUGCUGUCACUUAUAGAUGGAUCCGCGCCGCAUUAGCUAGUUGGUAAGGUAACGGCUUACCAAGGCAACGAUGCGUAGCCGACCUGAGAGGGUGAUCGGCCACACUGGAACUGAGACACGGUCCAGACUCCUACGGGAGGCCGCAGUAGGGAAUCUUCCGCAAUGGGCGAAAGCCUGACGGAGCAACGCCGCGUGAGUGAUGAAGGUCUUCGGAUCGUAAAACUCUGUUAUUAGGGAAGAACAAAUGUGUAAGUAACUAUGCACGUCUUGACGGUACCUAAUCAGAAAGCCACGGCUAACUACGUG
rnacentral:rRNA from 1 species